UACGGAGGUCUCAACCGUUGUUCAGAUUCAUUGGGCGUAAAGGGUGCGUAGGCGGUCGCGCAAGUCGGAUGUGAAAUCUCAGGGCUCAACCCUGAAACUGCAUUCGAUACUGCGUGGCUAGAGUGCUGGAGAGGAGACUGGAAUUUACGGUGUAGCAGUGAAAUGCGUAGAUAUCGUAAGGAAGACCAGUGGCGAAGGCGAGUCUCUGGACAGCAACUGACGCUGAGGCACGAAGGCCAGGGGAGCAAACGGG
rnacentral:rRNA from 1 species